rnacentral:tRNA from 2 species
AAUAGAGUGACUGAAUUUUAGGUGAUAAAUUGUAAAUUUAUUUAUGGCUGUAUAGCCCUCUAUUA